rnacentral:rRNA from 1 species
GACGAACGCUGGCGGCGUGCCUAAUACAUGCAAGUCGAACGCAGUGGGGACGGGGGCGUAACACAUGGGUAACCUCCCAUCAGAGGGGAUAACACUUCGAAACAGGUGCUAAACCGAUACUGAUGGAUGGAAGCGAGGUGCAUUAGCUAGUUGGUGAGGUAACGGCUCACCAAGGCCACGAUGCAUAGCCGACCUGGGAGUGUGAUCGUCCACACUGGGACUGAGACACGGCCCAGACUCCUACGGGAGGCAGCAGUAGGGAAUCUUCGGCAAUGGACGAAAGUCUGACCGCGCAACGCCGCGUGAGUGAAGAAGGUUUUCGGAUCGUAAAACUCUGUUGUUAGAGAAGCGGUAUCUAACCAGAAAGCCACGGCUAACUACGUGCCAGCAGCCGCGGUAAUAC